ensembl:misc_RNA Metazoa_SRP Metazoan signal recognition particle RNA
GCUGGGCAUGGUGGUGGAUGCCUGUAAUCCCAGCUACUCGGGAGGCUGAGGCAGGAGAAUCGCUUGAACCCGGGAGGUAGAGUUUGCAGUGAGCAAAGAUCGUGCCACUGCACUCCAGCCUGGGUAACAGAGUGAGACCCUGUUUCAA